rnacentral:snoRNA from 1 species
CUGCGAAUAUUCUCGCUGUUCUGAUUCUGUAAUAAUCAGGACAGGCUAAACAUUCGCUAUAUUAAGACCAUGCAUGUGUCCCCAGAC